rnacentral:hammerhead_ribozyme from 1 species
AUCCAGCUGACGAGUCCAAAAUAGGACGAAAUGUGCAUCCUAGAU